rnacentral:rRNA from 1 species
GAUAAACGCUGGCGGCGUGCUUAACACAUGCAAGUCGAACGGUAACGCCCUUUCGGGGGUGAUACGAGUGGCGAACAGGUGAGUAACACGUGGGUAACCUGCCCUUGACUUUGGGAUAAGCUCGGGAAACUGGGUCUAAUACCGGAUAUGAUCUUUUAUCGCAUGGUGGGAGAUGGAAAGUUCCGGCGGUCAGGGAUGGGCCCGCGGCCUAUCAGUUUGUUGGUGGGGUGAUGGCCUACCAAGGCGAUGACGGGUAGCCGGCCUGAGAGGGUGUCCG